rnacentral:tRNA from 1 species
UCCCUUGUGGCUCAGUUGGUAAAGAAUCUGCCUGCAAUGCAGGAUACCUGGGUUCGAUACCUGGAUUGGGAA